CUGUUUGUCCAAAUGAAACCUACCCAACUGCUAGUUAAUUCAAAGAAAAGCAAGGGGGAAAAGGGCAGGGGGGAAAAUUCCUUUCUGAAACCAAGAUGGCGAUUAGACGAGCCCUACCUCUAUGCCUGAGGAACAGCAAUCACUUCUUCCCAGCCUCAUGUGUCUGAAACCUGGACAGCCUUCACACCUUUUGAAAGUGCAUCCUCUAAGAACAGUUGAUGAUUUUAAAGAAUACGGAACAAAUAUACACAGCAUUGGCUUGAUGUAGCAGACAGGCAGUCAUAAAAAUGUAUUGCUGAACUAUAUGGAACACAACACUACUGCCUCAAAGCACUGAUUGUCUUUACUGUGACAGUCAGAGGGACUGCUGAUGUAACUGUAGAAUUGUGCUUACAAGAAGCCUGUGAUUGUUCCUUCAUAAGCAGAGAAGAAAGCACCAUAUUGUAUUAUUACAGUAUUUUCUAUAUCUAACACUGUGAGAAAUUGUUCAUUACAUGUGCUUGCUGUAUUCAGUAAUAUAUCAUAUUCUCUAAAGGGGAUGACAAACCAAAAGUAAAACUUUCUCAUUUCUCGACAGCCACCCUCCACACACAAACGGGGAUGGAAAGAACGAGGGUAUGAUGUCUAGAAACACUAACUGUUAUAUGAGGCUUUUGUUCUCUAGUUCAAUUAUAUGUUAUGAUCUUUACUUGGAUCGACAGAAAGGUGGAAAGAAGAUAUCGCGGACCUUUAAUUCCAAGUCCAGGU